UACGUAGGGACCGAGCGUUGUCCGGAAUCAUUGGGCGUAAAGCGCGUGUAGGCGGCCUGGUAAGUCCGCUGUGAAAGUCCAGGGCUCAACCCUGGAAUGCCGGUGGAAACUGUCAGGCUCGAGUCCGGAAGAGGCGAGUGGAAUUCCUGGUGUAGCGGUGAAAUGCGCAGAUAUCAGGAGGAACACCAGUGGCGAAGGCGGCUUACUGGUCCGGAACUGACGCUGAGGUGCGAAAGCGUGGGGAGCAAACAGG
rnacentral:rRNA from 1 species